CAGGUAGGUGGUCUUAUUUGUCAGGGGUGAAAGCCUUGGGCUUAACUCAAGAAGUGCCCCUGAAACGGUAAGACUCGAGUGCUGGAGAGGGUCGUGGAAUUCCCGGUGUAGCGGUGAAAUGCGUAGAGAUCGGGAGGAACACCAGAGGCGAAGGCGGCGACCUGGACAGUGACUGACACUCAACUGCGAAAGCGUGGGGGAGAAC
rnacentral:rRNA from 1 species